rnacentral:rRNA from 1 species
GACGAACGCUGGCGGCGUGCUUAACACAUGCAAGUCGAACGAUGAAGCUGGAGCUUGCUCCGGUGGAUUAGUGGCGAACGGGUGAGUAACACGUGAGCAAUCUGCCCUUGACUCUGGGAUAACGGCGGGAAACUGUAGCUAAUACCGGAUACGAGACCUGAAGGCAUCUUCGGGUCUGGAAAGAAUUUCGGUGAAGGAUGAGCUCGCGGCCGAUCAGCUUGUUGGUGAGGUAAUGGCUCACCAAGGCGACGACGGGUAGCCGGCCUGAGAGGGUGACCGGCCACACUGGGACUGAGACACGGCCCAGACUCCUACGGGAGGCAGCAGUGGGGAAUAUUGCACAAUGGGCGAAAGCCUGAUGCAGCAACGCCGCGUGAGGGAUGAAGGCCUUCGGGUUGUAAACCUCUUUUAGCAGGGAAGAAGCGAAAGUGACGGUACCUGCAGAAAAAGCACCGGCUAACUACGUGCCAGCAGCCGCCGUAA